GCGCCCAUAGCUUAACGGAUAAAGCGUAAGCCUCCGGAGCUUAAAAUCGAAGUUCGAUUCUUCGUGGGCGCA
rnacentral:tRNA from 1 species